UGCGAACUCCUACGGGAGGCAGCAGUGAGGAAUAUUGGUCAAUGGGCGAGAGCCUGAACCAGCCAAGUAGCGUGCGGGAUGAAGGCCCUUGUGGUCGUAAACCGCUUUUAUCAGUGAAUAAAGUGCAUCACGUGUGGUGUCAUUGCAGGUAGCUGAAGAAAAAGGACCGGCUAAUUCCGUGCCAGCAGCCGCGGUAAUACGGAAGGUCCGGGCGUUAUCCGGAAUUAUUGGGUUUAAAGGGAGCGCAGGCGGGAGUAUAAGUCAGCUGUUAAAUAUCAGGGCCCAACUCUGUUAUGCAGUUGAAACUAUAUUUCUUGAGUACGCACAGGGAUGGCGGAAUUCAGGGUGUAGCGGUGAAAUGCUUAGAUAUCCUGAAGAACUCCGAUCGCGAAGGCAGCCAUCCGGAGCGUAACUGACGCUGAGGCUCGAAGGUGCGGGUAUCAAACAGGAUUAGAUACCCUUGUAGUCCU
rnacentral:rRNA from 1 species